rnacentral:rRNA from 1 species
CACCUCUAGCAUUACCAGUAUUAGAGGCACUGCCUACCCAGUGACUUAUGUUCAAUGGCCACAGUAUCCUGAGAGUGAAAAGGUAGCAAAAUCACUUGUUCUCUAAAUAGGGACUUGUAUGAAUGGCUACACGAGGGUUCAGCUGUCUUACUUUUAAUCAGUGAAACUGACCUAUCCGUGAAGAGGCAGCUAUAAACAAAUAAAAGGAGAAGACCCUAUGGAGCUUUAAUUCAUUAAUGCAAAUAAAAACUCAAACAAGCCUACAGGCCCUAGACUACCAUUCUUGCAUUACAAAUUUUGGUUGGGGUGACCUCGGAGCAUAAUUCAACCUCCAAACAACCUAAACUAAGACUGCACUAGCCUAAGCGAGUUAAAACACACUGACCCAAUGAUUCGAUCAACAGAAUAAGUUACUCUAGGGAUAACAGCACAAUCCUAUUCUAGAGUUCAUAUCGACAAUAGGGUUUACGAUCUCGAUGUUGGAUCAGGACAUCCAAACGGUGUAGCCACUAUUAAGGGUUUGUUUGUUCAACAAUUAAAGUCCU